AUGCGUAGAUAUCGGGAGGAACACCAGUGGCGAAGGCGGCUCUCUGGGCCAUUCCUGACGCUGAGAUGCGAAAGCUAGGGGAGAGAACGGGAUUAGAAACCCCGGUAUUCCUAGCCGUAAACGAUGUCAACUAGGUGUAGGAGGUCAUUGACCCCUCCUGUGCUGUAGCUAACGCGUUAAGUUGACCGCCUGGGGACUACGGCCGCAAGGCUAAAACUCAAGGGAAUUGACGGGGACCCGCACAAGCAGCGGAGCGUGUGGUUUAAUUCGAGGCUACGCGAAGAACCUUACCAGGGCUUGACAUAUGCGUGGUAGGAAAUCGAAAGAGGACCGACCCUUCGGGGAGCGCAUACAGGUGCUGCAUGGCUGUCGUCAGCUCGUGCCGUGAGGUGUUAGGUUAAGUCCUGUAACGAGCGCAACCCUCGUCGUUAGUUACAUGUGUCUAGCGAGACUGCCGGUGAUAAGCCGGAGGAAGGUGAGGAUGACGUCAAGUCAGCAUGGCCUUUAUGUCCUGGGCUACACACACGCUACAAUGGCCAGUACAAUGGGUAGCCAAACCGCGAGGUGGAGCCAAUCCCGUAAAGCUGGUCUCAGUUCGGAUUGCAGUCUGCAACUCGACUGCAUGAAGUCGGAGUUGCUAGUAAACGCGCGUCAGCCACAGUGCGUUGAAUACGUUCCCGGGUCUUGCACUCACCGCCCGUC
rnacentral:rRNA from 1 species